AACGAACGCUGGCGGCAUGCCUAACACAUGCAAGUCGAACGAGACCUUCGGGUCUAGUGGCGCACGGGUGCGUAACGCGUGGGAACCUGCCCUUAGGUUCGGAAUAACUCCCCGAAAGGGGUGCUAAUACCGGAUAAUGUCUUCGGACCAAAGAUUUAUCGCCUUUGGAUGGGCCCGCGUUGGAUUAGCUAGUUGGUAGGGUAAAAGCCUACAAAGGCGACGAUCCAUAGCUGGUCUGAGAGGAUGAUCAGCCACACUGGGACUGAGACACGGCCCAGACUCCUACGGGAGGCAGCAGUGGGGAAUACUGGACAAUGGGCGAAAGCCUGAUCCAGCAAUGCCGCGUGAGUGAUGAAGGCCUUAGGGUUGUAAAGCUCUUUUACCCGGGAUGAUAAUGACAGUACCGGGAGAAUAAGCACCGGCUAACUCCGUG
rnacentral:rRNA from 1 species